rnacentral:rRNA from 1 species
UCGGAUUGUAGGCUGCAACUCGCCUACAUGAAGUCGGAAUCGCUAGUAAUCGCGGAUCAGCACGCCGCGGUGAAUACGUUCCCGGGCCUUGUACACACCGCCCGUCACACCACGAGAGUUUGUAACACCCGAAGUCGGUGAGGUAACCAAUUUGGAGCCAGCCGCCUAAGGUGGGAUAGAUGAUUGGGGGUGAAGUCGUAACAAGGUAAC